rnacentral:sRNA from 1 species
UCAGAUGAAGACCUCCUAACUUUAUUUGAUAAAAAUCCUAAACUUUUCUUUUUCAUAAUAAUCUCCCUAUAGAAGUCACCAAAUUCGGUGGCUUUUUU